rnacentral:tRNA from 1 species
GGCGCUGUAGCCAAGUGGUUACGGCGACAGAUUAGAAUUUAAAUAAAUAAAUAAUAAUCUGUUUCCCUUUGGGAGCGCAGGUUCGAGUCCUGCCGGCGUCG